ACGAACGCUGGCGGCGUGCUUAACACAUGCAAGUCGAACGGAAAGGCCCUGCUUUUGUGGGGUGCUCGAGUGGCGAACGGGUGAGUAACACGUGAGUAACCUGCCCUUGACUUUGGGAUAACUUCAGGAAACUGGGGCUAAUACCGGAUAGGAGCUCCUGCUGCAUGGUGGGGGUUGGAAAGUUUCGGCGGUUGGGGAUGGACUCGCGGCUUAUCAGCUUGUUGGUGGGGUAGUGGCUUGCCAAGGCUUUGACGGGUAGCCGGCCUGAGAGGGUGACCGGCCACAUUGGGACUGAGAUACGGCCCAGACUCCUACGGGAGGCAGCAGUGGGGAAUAUUGCACAAUGGGCGGAAGCCUGAUGCAGCAACGCCGCGUGCGGGAUGACGGCCUUCGGGUUGUAAACCGCUUUCGCCUGUGACGAAGCGUGAGUGACGGUAAUGGGUAAAGAAGCACCGGCUAACUACGUG
rnacentral:rRNA from 1 species